GAUGAAGAACGUAGCGAAAUGCGAUAAGUAAUGUGAAUUGCAGAAUUCAGUGAAUCAUCGAAUCUUUGAACGCACAUUGCGCCCCCUGGUAUUCCGGGGGGCAUACCUGUCCGAGCGUCAUUACAACCCUCAAGCUCGGCUUGGUGUUGGGCCCCGCCGCCCCGGCGGGCCCUAAAGUCAGUGGCGGUGCCGUCCGGCUCCGAGCGUAGUAAUUCUUCUCGCUCUGGAGGUCCGGUCGUGUGCUCGCCAGCAACCCCCAAUUUUUUUCAGGUUGACCUCGGAUCAGGUAGGGAUACCCGCUGAACUUAAGCAUAUCAAUAAGCGGAGGA
rnacentral:misc_RNA from 1 species